GAUGAACGCUGGCGGCGUGCUUAACACAUGCAAGUCGAACGGAAAGGCCGAAGCUUGCUUCGGUACUCGAGUGGCGAACGGGUGAGUAACACGUGGGUGAUCUGCCCUGCACUUUGGGAUAAGCCUGGGAAACUGGGUCUAAUACCAGAUAGGACCACGUCUUGGAUGGUGUGGUGGAAAGUUUUUUCGGUGUGGGAUGAGCUCGCGGCCUAUCAGCUUGUUGGUGGGGUAAUGGCCUACCAAGGCGUCGACGGGUAGCCGGCCUGAGAGGGUGUACGGCCACAUUGGGACUGAGAUACGGCCCAGACUCCUACGGGAGGCAGCAGUGGGGAAUAUUGCACAAUGGGCGCAAGCCUGAUGCAGCGACGCCGCGUGGGGGAUGACGGCCUUCGGGUUGUAAACUCCUUUCGCCAGGGACGAAGCGUAAGUGACGGUACCUGGAUAAGAAGCACCGGCUAACUACGUGCCAGCAGCCGCGGUAAUACGUAGGGUGCGAGCGUUGUCCGGAAUUACUGGGCGUAAAGAGCUCGUAGGUGGUUUGUCGCGUCGUUUGUGUAAUACCGCAGCUUAACUGCGGGGUUGCAGGCGAUACGGGCAUAACUUGAGUGCUGUAGGGGAGACUGGAAUUCCUGGUGUAGCGGUGGAAUGCGCAGAUAUCAGGAGGAACACCGAUGGCGAAGGCAGGUCUCUGGGCAGUAACUGACGCUGAGGAGCGAAAGCAUGGGUAGCGAACAGGAUUAGAUACCCUGGUAGUCCAUGCCGUAAACGGUGGGCGCUAGGUGUGAGUCCCUUCCACGGGGUUCGUGCCGUAGCUAACGCAUUAAGCGCCCCGCCUGGGGAGUACGGCCGCAAGGCUAAAACUCAAAGGAAUUGACGGGGGCCCGCACAAGCGGCGGAGCAUGUGGAUUAAUUCGAUGCAACGCGAAGAACCUUACCUGGGCUUGACAUGCACCGGAUCGCUGCAGAGAUGUAGUUUCCCUUGUGGCUGGUGUACAGGUGGUGCAUGGUUGUCGUCAGCUCGUGUCGUGAGGUGUUGGGUUAAGUCCCGCAACGAGCGCAACCCUUGUCUUAUGUUGCCAGCAUUUGGUUGGGGACUCAUGAGAGACUGCCGGGGUUAACUCGGAGGAAGGUGGGGAUGACGUCAAAUCAUCAUGCCCCUUAUGUCCAGGGCUUCACACACGCUACAAUGGUCGGUACAACGCGCGGCUACUUCGUGAGGAGGCGCUAAUCGCUGAAAGCCGGUCUUAGUUCGGAUUGGGGUCUGCAACUCGACCCCAUGAAGUCGGAGUCGCUAGUAAUCGUAGAUCAGCAACGCUGCGGUGAAUACGUUCCCGGGCCU
rnacentral:rRNA from 1 species